GCAAGCGUUAAUCGGAAUUACUGGGCGUAAAGCGCACGCAGGCGGUUUGUUAAGUCAGAUGUGAAAUCCCCGCGCUUAACGUAGGAACUGCAUUUGAAACUGGCAAGCUAGAGUCUCGUAGAGGGGGGUAGAAUUCCAGGUGUAGCGGUGAAAUGCGUAGAGAUCUGGAAGAAUACCGGUGGCGAAGGCGGCCCCCUGGACGAAGACUGACGCUCAGGUGCGAAAGCGUGGGGAGCGAACAGGAUUAGAUACCCUGGUAGUCCACGCUGUAAACGAUGUCGAUUUGGAGGUUGUGCCCUUGAGGCGUGGCUUCCGGAGCUAACGCGUUAAAUCGACCGCCUGGGGAGUACGGCCGCAAGGUUAAAACUCAAAUGAAUUGACGGGGGCCCGCACAAGCGGUGGAGCAUGUGGUUUAAUUCGAUGCAACGCGAAGAACCUUACCUACUCUUGACAUCCAGAGAACUUUCCAGAGAUGGAAGGGUGCCUUCGGGAACUCUGAGACAGGUGCUGCAUGGCUAUCGUCAGCUCGUGUUGUGAAAUGUUGGGUUAAGUCCCGCAACGAGCGCAACCCUUAUCCUUUGUUGCCAGCGGUUCGGCCGGGAACUCAAAGGAGACUGCCAGUGAUAAACUGGAGGAAGGUGGGGAUGACGUCAAGUCAUCAUGGCCCUUACGAGUAGGGCUACACACGUGCUACAAUGGCGUAUACAAAGAGAAGCGAACUUGCGAGAGUAAGCGGACCUCAUAAGGUACGUCGUAGUCCGGAUUGGAGUCUGCAACUCGACUCCAUGAAGUCGGAAUC
rnacentral:rRNA from 1 species